GAUGAACGCUAGCGGGAGGCUUAACACAUGCAAGGUCGAGGGGCAGCAUAGGGUAGCAAUACUCUGAUGGCGACCGGCAAACGGGUGAGUAACGCGUAUGCAACCUACCCUGUACAGGGGGAUAACCCGGAGAAAUUCGGACUAAUAUCCCGUAAUAAUAUCCGGAGGCAUCUUUGGAUAUUUAAAGUUCCGACGGUACGGGAUGGGCAUGCGUAACAUUAGCUGGUUGGUAAGGUAACGGCUUACCAAGGCUAUGAUGUUUAGGGGUCCUGAGAGGGUGGUCCCCCACACUGGUACUGAGACACGGACCAGACUCCUACGGGAGGCAGCAGUGAGGAAUAUUGGUCAAUGGGCGCAAGCCUGAACCAGCCAUCCCGCGUGCAGGAAGACGGCCCUAUGGGUUGUAAACUGCUUUUCCAGGGAGAGAAACUUACGCACGUGUUGCGUGACUGACGGUACCCUGGGAAUAAGCAUCGGCUAACUCCGUG
rnacentral:rRNA from 1 species